GACGAACGCUGGCGGCGUGCUUAACACAUGCAAGUCGAACGGAAAGGCCUGCUUUCCCUUGUGGAUUGCGGGUACUCGAGUGGCGAACGGGUGAGUAACACGUGAGUGAUCUGCCCCCAACUUGGGUAUAAGCCUGGGAAACUGGGUCUAAUUCCCGAUAGGACUGCAGGGUGGUGCCUGUGGUGGAAAACGAUUUUCUAGUGGUUGGGGAUGAGCUCGCGGCCUAUCAGCUUGUUGGUGGGGUAAUGGCCUACCAAGGCGGCGACGGGGAGCCGGCCUGAGAGGGUGGACGGCCACAUUGGGACUGAGAUACGGCCCAGACUCCUACGGGAGGCAGCAGUGGGGAAUAUUGCACGCUGUGCGGAAGCCUGAUGCAGCGACGCCGCGUGGGGGAUGACGGCCUUCGGGUUGUAAACUCCUUUCGACCGCGAGGAAGCCACCUGGUUGGAAGGGUGGUGACGGUAGUGGUAGAAGAAGCACCGGCUAACUACGUG
rnacentral:rRNA from 1 species